UACGUAGGGUGCAAGCGUUAUCCGGAAUUAUUGGGCGUAAAGAGCUCGUAGGCGGUUUGUCGCGUCUGCUGUGAAAACCCGAGGCUCAACCUCGGGCCUGCAGUGGGUACGGGCAGACUAGAGUGCGGUAGGGGAGAUUGGAAUUCCUGGUGUAGCGGUGGAAUGCGCAGAUAUCAGGAGGAACACCGAUGGCGAAGGCAGAUCUCUGGGCCACUACUGACGCUGAGGAGCGAAAGCGUGGGGAGCGAACAGG
rnacentral:rRNA from 1 species